CAGUAGCCACGGGAAUACGGAGGGUGCAAGCGUUAAUCGGAAUUACUGGGCGUAAAGCGCACGCAGGCGGUCUGACAAGUCAGAUGUGAAAUCCCCGGGCUUAACCUGGGAACUGCAUUUGAAACUGUCAGGCUGGAGUCUUGUAGAGGGGGGUGGAAUUCCAGGUGUAGCGGUGAAAUGCGUAGAGAUCUGGAGGAAUACCGGUGGCGAAGGCGGCCCCCUGGACAAAGACUGACGCUCAGGUGCGAAAGCGUGGGGAGCAAACAGGAUUAGAUACCCGUGUAGUCCCUGUCUCUUAUAC
rnacentral:rRNA from 1 species